GAAUAAUCCUAUCAGUCCAAUAUGAGUCCUCAAUACCUUCUAUCAACAAAGUUUCAGUAGCUAAGUUGGAUGGAUUUUGUCCUAUGUGCUUUUCUGUCAGCUUUGAGUGGUCUGCUGACACGGUAGUUUCAGAGCAAGUUAAAUUCCUAUAAUCACAGAACAAACUAGCUUGUGACAGCAAAAUACUACUCGCAUUCAUGGGAUCCCUG
rnacentral:misc_RNA from 1 species